rnacentral:rRNA from 1 species
AAGAUUAAGCCAUGCAUGUCUAAGUAUAAGCAAUUUAUACAGUGAAACUGCGAGUGGCUCAUUAAAUCAGUUAUCGUUUAUUUGAUAGUUCCUUUACUACAUGGUAUAACUGUGGUAAUUCUAGAGCUAAUACAUGCUUAAAAUCUCGACCCUUUGGAAGAGAUGUAUUUAUUAGAUAAAAAUCAAUGCGGGGCAACCCGGUUUUUUGGUGAUUCAUAAUAACUUCGCGAAUCGCAU